rnacentral:rRNA from 1 species
CCUACGGGAGGCAGCAGUGAGGAAUAUUGGUCAAUGGACGAGAGCCUGAACCAGCCAAGUAGCGUGAAGGAUGACUGCCCUAUGGGUUGUAAACUUCUUUUAUAUGGGAAUAAAAUGUCCCACGUGUGGGGUUUUGUAUGUACCAUAUGAAUAAGGAUCGGCUAACUCCGUGCCAGCAGCCGCGGUAAUACGGAGGAUCCGAGCGUUAUCCGGAUUUAUUGGGUUUAAAGGGUGCGUAGGCGGAUAGUUAAGUCAGUUGGUAAAGUUGGGGGCUCAACCGUAGAAUUGCAGUUGAAACUGGCAGUCUUGAGUACAGUAGAGGUGGGCGGAAUGCGUGGUGUAGCGGUGAAAUGCUUAGAUAUCACGAAGAACUCCGAUUGCGAAGGCAGUUCACUGGACUGCAACUGACACUGAGGCUCGAAAGUGUGGGUAUCAAACAGGAUUAGAUACCCGGGUAGUC